UGGUGGUGGGGAAGGAGAAAAGGUUAACAUUCUCUUUAAUAAGAAUGGAAAGGAUCCUAGUGAUCAUGACAACGUAUGUGCAGUCGAGGCAUUCUUUGUUACAAAGGAGGAUUCUAUAGGGGAUGAU